AGAUCAUUUUAACACACUGUCUCAACAUGUUUAUAUUUCAGGAAGGCCUGUCAUGAGAUUUGAAUUUGACCAUCUUGUGCAUUUAUGAAGAAGACCAAAAGCUGCAAAGGCAAACACUUCCAAUGGUACGUCAGAUACAUUUUUCUCAGCAUUUGAUGUUUCUUAAAUUUUGGUUCACUUAGCCCAUCAGGAAGAACACUCAACAAAGAGCAUGUUGUAGUAGUAAUAAUUCAUCCAAUAAUCAUAUUAUAUUGCACAAGCGUACUUGUACAAAAUUCUACAACUUUUACUCCUACUGCUGUUAUUGGCCAUUACCACAGCUCCCAUCAGAUUGUGCCCAUUGUAAGAGUGUUUAUAUCAUGAAGUUUAAAUGAAGUCCAUUGUAUUCUUUAUUAAUCUUUACAAAUUGGUGCCGCCUCUUCCUGUUUCAACAGUACAUGAUAUCUGUCCACACCUCAUAGUCUGCCUUUCUUUCUAUGGUGAUGUUACUGAACACAUCUGUCUUAGAAGCAAGAGAAUGGAAAUCCUAGUUUAACUUUUCAAGUGCUACAAAUCAGAUCUUCAAUGAAUUUGGGCAAUCAGAUCACUUAAAGUUGUUCACACAAAGACCAAUAACUAUAAUGAGAAGUAUUUUAGCAUCCACACCAACAGACAAUACUGUUCUCUUAAAUCUCUUAAAUGUUCCCCUCAUUCUGUUAAAUUUAUACACAAAAUUCUGCCUUUCUCUGCCUUUUUCACUUCAUCUUCAUGCUGUACUCCCUCACUCACACAUUCUUUUAUGCUCUGUUGUAAGGCAGAAACUGAGAGUUUGCAUGAUGGCAUUUUCUCAGACGUUGAAUCUGAUGUGUACAGAUGAACUCAGGAGCCUACUAGAGUUGCCAAGGAACUUGUGCUUGAACUGAAGACCAGAAACGCAAAGAAAAUCAGUCAAACCAGUCCUAAAGAAAUGAGGAAUGAACAUGGACUUCUUGUGCCCAAAAAGAAAAGACAGAAAGCUCCUAAAAUGAGCAAAUAAGCUGUGCAUCAUCUCUGUGAUUUGGGAAGGAAAUGACUGAAUAUGAUGAAGCCAAUUGAUGAAGAUAUCAAUUGAAUGGCCACCGAGUGCAUCACUGCUACCUGAACCCAUCAGUUAUCUGCUGUGAAGACUGCAUUCACAAACCGCUCUACUGCGACAGCUCAGAUGUUACGGCCUGUAAAAGUAAACAUCACAGCUAAACAACGAGAGCUAGUUUUGGUGGGAUUCUUUUGGCCAAUAUCCCCA